rnacentral:rRNA from 1 species
UCCGUAGGUGGAUAAUUAAGUCAGAGGUGAAAUCCUGCAGCUCAACUGUAGAAUUGCCUUUGAUACUGGUUAUCUUGAGUCAUUAUGAAGUGGUUAGAAUGUGUAGUGUAGCGGUGAAAUGCAUAGAUAUUACACAGAAUACCGAUUGCGAAGGCAGAUCACUAAUAAUGUACUGACACGGAGGGACGAAAGCGUGGGGAGCGAACAGGAUUAGAUACCCUGGUAGUCC